rnacentral:rRNA from 1 species
ACCUACGGGAGGCAGCAGUAGGGAAUUUUCGUCAAUGGGCGCAAGCCUGAACGAGCAAUGCCGCGUGAACGAGGAAGGUCUUCGGAUCGUAAAGUUCUGUUGAAGGGGAAAAAGAGCGGAGAGAGGAAAUGCUUUCUGAUUGAUAUUACCCUUCGAGGAAGUCACGGCUAACUACGUGCCGGCAGCCGCGGUAAUACGUAGGUGGCGAGCGUUAUCCGGAAUGAUUGGGCGUAAAGGGUGCGUAGGCGGCCUGCUAAGUCUGGAGUGAAAGGUACCGGCUCAACCGGUACAGGCUCUGGAAACUG